ensembl:lncRNA
AUUUUUGUUGACCCUAUGUAAGGCAGACAUUAUUCUCCAAGGCAAUACAUUAAUGCAGUUAUCUCUCAAAGAUGCAUCCACCAACCCCCAUGGAUACAGGAAGCAUAGUCAGGGGAUCCACGAUUUGUUAAAAAGGACCAUUCUUAGAUGAAUACACAGUGGGAGUGCUUGGGAGGGAUGCUAGGUGAUUUACUCUUUCAAGCAGAUGGCCGCAGAGGGAGAAGACUAAGAAUGGACUACAUUGACUCUAAAAUGCUGAAUAAGAGGCUGCCACAUGCUGCCUAUUUGUUCUGCAAGCCACGGAGUGGGAGGAGAACUGUGUUAUUCCCCUCCUCUUACUGUAACAGGCCCUUACAGGUGGGGUUCCCACUAUACUGCAUUCAAGGGUGAGUAAUGAUCUGAAAUUAAAAAGAAAAUCUGUGACUGAUUGCUGUUUACACAAUUACAUACCAGCACCAGUAUGGAGGAGCAUUACAUCAUUGCCACUAAUCAUGCAUAAGACAUCAUAAAUGCAUUUAUUCCUUUCUUG